UAAGCGGAGGAAAAGAAACUAACAAGGAUUCCCCUAGUAGCGGCGAGCGAAGCGGGAAGAGCUCAAAUUUAUAAUCUGGCGCUUUCGGCGUCCGAGUUGUAAUCUCUAGAAGUGUUUUCCGCGUUGGACCGCACAUAAGUCUGUUGGAAUACAGCGGCACAGUGGUGAGACCCCCGUUCACGGUGCGGAUGCCCAAUGCUUUGUGAUACACUUUCGAAGAGUCGAGUUGUUUGGGAAUGCAGCUCAAAUUGGGUGGUAAAUUCCAUCUAAAGCUAAAUAUUGGCGAGAGACCGAUAGCGAACAAGUACCGUGAGGGAAAGAUGAAAAGCACUUUGGAAAGAGAGUUAACAGUACGUGAAAUUGUUGGAAGGGAAACGCUUGAAGUCAGACUUGCUAUUCGGGGCUUGCUCCGAGUUGCAGGCCAGCAUCAGUUUUUCGGGGCGGAAAAUCACGGAUUGAAGGUAGCAGUUUCGGCUGUGUUAUAGCUUUCCGUUGGAUACGUCCUGGGGGACUGAGGAACGCAGUGUGCUUUUAGCGAGGGCUUCGGCUCUUUCACACUUAGGAUGCUGGUGGAAUGGCUUUAAACGACCCGUCUUGAAACACG
rnacentral:rRNA from 1 species